rnacentral:rRNA from 1 species
GAUGAACGCUGGCGGCGUGCCUAAUACAUGCAAGUCGAGCGAACUGAUUAGAAGCUUGCUUCUAUGACGUUAGCGGCGGACGGGUGAGUAACACGUGGGCAACCUGCCUGUAAGACUGGGAUAACUUCGGGAAACCGAAGCUAAUACCGGAUAGGAUCUUCUCCUUCAUGGGAGAUGAUUAAAAGAUGGUUUCGGCUAUCACUUACAGAUGGGCCCGCGGUGCAUUAGCUAGUUGGUGAGGUAACGGCUCACCAAGGCAACGAUGCAUAGCCGACCUGAGAGGGUGAUCGGCCACACUGGGACGUAGACACGGCCCAGACUCAUACGGGAGGCAGCAGUAGGGAAUCUUCCGCAAUGGACGAAAGUCUGACGGAGCAACGCCGCGUGAGUGAUGAAGGCUUUCGGGUCGUAAAACUCUGUUGUUAGGGAAGAACAAGUACGAGAGUAACUGCUCGUACCUUGACGGUACCUAACCAGAAAGCCACGGCUAACUACGUGCCAGCCGCCGCAGUAAAAC